rnacentral:rRNA from 1 species
AGUGAACGCUGGCGGUAGGCCUAACACAUGCAAGUCGAACGGCAGCACAGUAAGAGCUUGCUCUUACGGGUGGCGAGUGGCGGACGGGUGAGGAAUACAUCGGAAUCUACUUUUUCGUGGGGGAUAACGUAGGGAAACUUACGCUAAUACCGCAUACGACCUACGGGUGAAAGCAGGGGAUCUUCGGACCUUGCGCGAUUGAAUGAGCCGAUGUCGGAUUAGCUAGUUGGCGGGGUAAAGGCCCACUAAGGCGGCGAUCCGUAGCUGGUCUGAGAGGCGGAUCAGCGACACUGGAACUGAGACACGGUCCAGACUCCUACGGGAGGCAGCAGUGGGGAAUAUUGGACAAUGGGCGGAAGCCUGAUCCAGCCAUACCGCGUGGGUGAAGAAGGCCUUCGGGUUGUAAAGCCCUUUUGUUGGGAAAGAAAAGCAGCAGGUUAAUACCCCGCUGUUCUGACGGUACCCAAAGAAUAAGCACCGGCUAACUUCGUG